rnacentral:rRNA from 1 species
CACGAAAAUCAUUCCGGGUGACCUCAGAUCAGGUAGGGAUACCCGCUGAACUUAAGCAUAUCAAUAAGCGGAGGAAAAGAAACCAACAGGGAUUGCCUCAGUAACGGCGAGUGAAGCGGCAAAAGCUCAGAUUUGGAAUCUGGCGUCACCUUCUGGCGUCCGAGUUGUAAUCUGCAGAGGGGCAUUCGAGUGUGGCGAUGGCUUAAGUUUCUUGGAACAGGACGUCAUAGAGGGUGAGAACCCCGUUAACGGCCCUUUGUCUUAUGCUCAUGUGAAUCUCCUUCGACGAGUCGAGUUGUUUGGGAAUGCAGCUCUAAAUGGGUGGUAAAUUCCAUCUAAAGCUAAAUACUGGCAAGAGACCGAUAGCGCACAAGUAGAGUGAUCGAAAGAUGAAAAGAACUCUGAACAGAGAGUCAAAUAGUACGUGAAAUUGUUGAAAGGGAAGCACUUGCUACCAGACACGCCUGCGGUCGAUCAGCCUUCACUCUGUGAUGGUGCACUCGGCCUGCAUUGGUGGGUCAGCAUCAGUUGUGGCGGCGGGAUAAAGGCCUGGGGAAUGUGGCUUCUCUCGGGAAGUGUUAUAGCCCUGCGGCGCAAUACCGCCUGCACGCGA